AUAUAGAUAUGAUUUGACUCAUGACACAGCUCUUUAUUCAUUCAUUUUCCAUCCCUCCAUCCUCCCUCACUCUGUCCACCAGUCACUCCAUCCCUUCUGCCGUCCAUCAAUCCCCCCCAUCCGUCCAUCCGUCCCUCCCGCUCUGCCUGUCCGUCUAGGUGAUAAAUGAGAAGAUAUUUGGGUCCGUUAAUUAGAGCGCUAUUUCCAGACCUUGAUGAGCUUGCCGCCCCAGCGAGAUGUGCCCCUCUCUCUCGCCCUUCCGUUCUGUGAGUGGGGGCCCAGCCGGUGCUGAGAGACGCCGAGGUGGAGGAGCUCCAGCGGCGGGAGCGCUCGGAGCAGAUCCAGGGCUACCGGCUGCUGCGGGACACGGUGCUGGAGCACCGCCGGCGGGAGGCGCAGAGCAGGACCGCCCUGAUCCAGGGGCAGCUGGAGAUGUACGACGGCAUGCAGGUCACCCUGCGCGACCAGCGGCAGAAGACCCAGGCGGCCCUCCAGGCGGUCAACGCCCGUCUGAUGGAGGCCGAGCUGGGGGACAAGGGAGAGGAGGGGGGCCUGGAGGAGCAGGCGGGAGCGGCUGCGUCCGUCUCGGCCGCCACGCAGCCCGCCAAGCCCAACAGCGCCGGCAAGAAGUGAAUGUGGGUCUGACGGCCACCGACCCUAGUGUAGGCUCUUCAGUUCAGCUAGUCCCCCCUGCAGUAUGGCCGUAGAAGCUUUGCGUUACAUUAGAAUGAGAUUUAUGACAAAAAAGGGUGCUGGUGCCUAGCAAGAAUUUUUUUCUUUUUUAGUGUUAGCCUUUUCAGCAAAACAUUCACUAUUGUUAUAGCUUCACAUAUUACUAGUUUGAACAUUCGAGAUGAGUUAUGACAGCCUGAUUUAUAUUUCCUGAUCCACGUCGUUACCUUAGAAAUUGUUACUAUUUAAGUAUGGCUAUAUAAUAGUAAGCUUUGAAUUCAGUCGUACAGAAGCGUUAUCUCACUGUUAUCUCACUGUUAUCUCAAUGUGAAAUGUUUCUUUUUGGCCUUUUGGGAUUCGGCUCCUCUCCUGUUCUCCUUCUCCUGGCUGAUGGACCGAUCAGUCAAACACAUGGAGAAAACAUGGGCCAUUCUCGCUAAUGGACCUCCCCCUCCCCGUCAUUAAAGUCCAUAUAAUGGUUUGGAAA
ensembl:lncRNA